AUGGCCGCACGCGCGCACAACAACGUCGCUGCCGCUCAGCAGCAGAACAGAGCUUUAGGUGGUGGUGGUGGUGGUGGUGUCCCCGCCAUGGGCAAGCAGCAGAAGGCGGCCAUGGCAGGCAGGCCCGACCCCAAGAACACCCGCCGCGCCCUUGGCGACAUCGGCAACUUCGAGGCCAACAACCGGCGCGCCCCCCUGGGCGACAUCGCCAACGUCGUCAACGUCCGCGCGGCCGAAGGAAACAGGAAGCCGCAGCCCCAUGAGCCGGUGAACCGCCCCGUCACGAGGAACUUCGGCGCCCAGCUCCUCAAGAACGCGCAGGAGAAAGCAAAGAACCCGGUGGCGAGACCUGCGGUGAGGAGGGCUCAUCAUGUCAAGCCCGCCCCUCCUCCACCGGAGCACGUGAUCGAGAUCAGCUCCGACUCGGACGUGACCAAGUCGGAGGCCGGCAGCGUCAGCUCCGUCCGCAAGUACUCGAGGAAGAAGGUGGUCACCACCCUCAGCCACGUGCUCUCGGCGCGCUCCAAGUUUGCAGCCGGAAUCACCGAAGAGCCAGCGAUCCAGGACAUCGACAAGCUUGACGGCGACAACCAGCUCGCCGUCGUCGAUUACAUCGAAGAUAUCUACAAAUUCUACAAAGUCGCCGAGAACGAGUGCCGGGCCAAGGACUACAUGGACUCCCAGGUGGAGAUCAACGCCAAGAUGAGGGGCAUCCUCAUCGACUGGAUCCUGGAAGUGCACCAGAAGUUCGACCUGAUGCCAGAGUCGCUGUAUCUCACGGUGUAUAUCAUCGACAUGUACCUCUCGCUGCAGACCGUGCUCCGGCGGGAGCUGCAGCUGGUGGGCGUCUCCGCCCUCCUCAUCGCCUGCAAGUACGAAGAGAUUUGGGCUCCUGAGGUGAAUGAUUUCAUCUUGAUCUCCGACAGCGCAUACACCCGGGAGCAGAUUCUGAAGAUGGAGAAGGCCAUCCUGAACAUGCUGGAGUGGAACCUGACGGUGCCCACGCCCUACGUGUUCCUCGUCCGUUUCGCCAAGGCCGCCUCCUCCUCCGAUCAGAAGAACGACAAGGAGAUGGAGAACACCGUCUUCUUCUUCGCGGAGCUGGCGCUGCUGCAGUACGGUCUGGUCCAGUCCAAGCCCUCCAUGGUCGCCGCCGCUGCUGUCUACGCCGCCAGGCUCACCCUGAAGAAAACCCCUCUGUGGACCGACACUCUGAAGCACCACACUGGCUUCACUGAAGCGCAGCUGAUGGAGGCGGCCAAGAUCCUGGUGGCCUCGCACUCCACGGCGCCUGACAGCAAGCUGAAGGUCGUCUACAAGAAGUACUCGAGCGAGAAGCUCGGAGGAGUCGCCCUGCGCCCGCCUGCGACCGACUUCUGCAAAUGA
rnacentral:rRNA from 1 species